rnacentral:rRNA from 1 species
CAGCACGUGAAAUUGUUGAAAGGGAAGCGCUUGCAGCCAGACUUGCUUGCAGUUGCUCAUCCGGGCUUUUGCCCGGUGCACUCUUCUGUAGGCAGGCCAGCAUCAGUUUGGGCGGUGGGAUAAAGGUCUCUGUCACGUACCUCUCUUCGGGGAGGCCUUAUAGGGGAGACGACAUACCACCAGCCUAGACUGAGGUCCGCGCAUCUGCUAGGAUGCUGGCGUAAUGGCUGUAAGCGGCCCGUCUUGAAACACGGACCAAGGAGUCUAACAUCUAUGCGAGUGUUUGGGUGUCAAGCCCGAGCGCGUAAUGAAAGUGAACGGAGGUGGGAACCCGCAAGGGUGCACCAUCGACCGAUCCUGAAGUUUACGGAAGGAUUUGAGUAAGAGCAUGGCUGUUGGGACCCGAAAGAUGGUGAACUAUGCUUGAAUAGGGUGAAGCCAGAGGCCUCUGGUGGAGGCUCGCAGCGGUUCUGACGUGCAAAUCGAUCGUCAAAUUUGGGCAUAGGGCG